CAGGAAAAUUGCAGAUUUACCCACAAAAAAUUAAACCUAUGAAGUGAAAGCCACCCAAUUCAAUAGGCCACUUUUCACGCAUAACUAGUGAAAGAUAAAUAAAUACUUUUUCAUUUGCCUGUACAAAUCCAGCCCCACUUUAAAGGUGCUAAAUGAUAAGGUGUGACGUCAUGAACUUAGUAUACUUAUGAGUGCGUCUCGACGUGUCAUAUAUAGGUAGGUGUUCCUCCCGCUUAGAAGGCAGGUGAAAAUUCGUUAAAAAAUCAGUUUUCCUACGUGCCUCAAAUCUAGAUGCGCCCCAUCAGCUGCAGAAUUCAAGGAAAUCCCCAUUGUUAUGUAGGGCAUUUUUGAGCAAACCCUCCACACUCUAGAGGCUGGACAGGGCUGAACUUGGCAAAGAAGGCAACGGACUGGGGAAGGGAAGGAAUAUUCCAAAUUUGAAAAUAAAGAGAGCUAUCCGUCGACAGUCUAUAUUUUACACUGUCAUGGAGUUGCUCUCUUUAUGGACGAAUUUAUUUCCAUCGCUGCAUUGGGGGUCUUUUGGUGAAAUCGCGCUCUGGUUACAAUUUAAACUAAAAAUCCUUUACAUGUACUUAUCAAACAAAAUCGACCAGAACGGUGCAUUUGAGGUAAAUAAAACAUUAAUUCUUCGUU
rnacentral:lncRNA from 1 species